GACAGAGGGUGCAAACGUUGCUCGGAAUCACUGGGCGUAAAGGGCGUGUAGGCGGGACAGUAAGUCGGGCGUGAAAUCCCUGGGCUCAACCCAGGAACUGCACUCGAAACUACUAUUCUUGAGUGUCGGAGAGGAAAGCGGAAUUCCUGGUGUAGAGGUGAAAUUCGUAGAUAUCAGAAGGAACACCAGUGGCGAAGGCGGCUUUCUGGACGAUAACUGACGCUGAGACGCGAAAGCGUGGGGAGCAAACAGG
rnacentral:rRNA from 1 species